CUGUACGCACGCCUGCGAUUCUAUCAAAACAGGAAGGAGCGUAGCACGCAAUAACAAUAUAACAUAUAAAAAUUAUAACAAUAACUCUAAUGGUGAAUGGUAACAACUUAUCAGGGGACUGAGAGCAAAAAAAACCCCCGCAGGAACAAUAGAUCACAUUCCAGCAGUUUACUUAGGGGAUCAACACUAAUUCUCCAUCGCCUUAAAUAUCCAGGAUAACAGCUGCACCGAAUCCUUGAAUCAUGUCUGGCUUGAAGCUGGUUUAUACAAGCAUUUUUAAGGGUCGCAGGGAGCCUGGAGCCUAUCCCAGGGGACUCGGAGCAGGAGGUGGGACACUCUGGACACACUCACACGGACACAACGGACAAUUUGGAAAUGUCAACCAUACACGUCUUUGAACUGGAUGAGGAAACCGAGGCGAGGAAGCAUGGUGCGAACACGCAAGCUCCACAUAGACAGAGCAGGGCGGAGGUGGGAACCGAACCCCCAACCCUGGAGUUGCGAGGCAAAUGUGCUAACCCCCAAGUACAUCUCCAUUAAGCAUAUUUUACAUGAACAUAAAUAUAAAUAAAGAACACAUCAUGAUCAUCUUCCUUUAGCUUUUAUUAAUAUAAUGAGCAGAUGCAAAUGAACACACAAAAAAAAAACAACAGUAGUAGUGCUGUUUCCUAAAAAAACAAAACAAAAAAAACAACGGAAUCUCUAAAAUGAUCAAUUACUAUUAAGACUCGCAGAGUACGCCUGCAGAAAUACCAGAAAUAAUGGCGAAUUUAGUUUAAAGCGCUAAUUAAGCAAGUAUCUUCAAGUGACUUACACUAUAAUUGUUGAACAGCUCACUGUUAUCUGAAAAGCAAAUGCCGAGACGAGAUACAAAUACAAAAAUUUUCACAUUCCCAUUUCUUGUCUAAUUAUUGAGAACAAUUCACCAAGGCAACUCUCUAAUACAAAGAUUUCUAAAUACAGUGCACAGAUUCCGUUCGCCACUUCCUGUUUUUAGUUUUUCGAUGGUAAUUUUUCAAUUGGAGACAAACUGGAAGCAUGGACAUGAAAAGUGAAUAGGACACGGCAAAGGCAUGCACAAUUUCCCUACAGAAUGGGGAGCAACAAGAACACGGCUGUGUGUGUGUGUGG